rnacentral:rRNA from 1 species
GGCUGUGAUGUAAGUCAGUGGUGAAAGCCCGGGGCUUAACUCCGGGAUUGCCAUUGAAACUGCACCACUUGAGUAUAGUCGAGGACGGCGGAAUGAGUUAUGUAGCGGUGAAAUGCAUAGAUAUAACUCAGAACACCGAUUGCGGAGGCAGCUGUCUAGGCUAAUACUGACGCUGAUUCACGAAAGCGUGGGGAUCAAACAGGAUUAGAUACCCUGGUAAUCCACGCUGUAAACGAUGAUCACUCGUUGUUGGUUAUGUAAUAAUCAGCGAUCAAGCGAAAGCGAUAAGUGAUCCACCUGGGGAGUACGUCGGCAACGAUGAAACUCAAAGGAAUUGACGGGGGCCCGCACAAGCGGAGGAACAUGUGGUUUAAUUCGAUGAUACGCGAGGAACCUUACCUGGGCUUAAAUGUAGAGUGUAUGAGAGGGAAACCUUUCUUUCCUACGGGACUCUUUACAAGGUGCUGCAUGGUUGUCGUCAGCUCGUGCCGUGAGGUGUCGGGUUAAGUCCCAUAACGAGCGCAACCCCUAUUGCUAGUUACCAGCGCGUUAUGGCGGGGACUCUAGCGAGACUGCCUGCGCAAGCAGUGAGGAAGGUGGGGACGACGUCAAGUCAUCAUGGCCCUUACGCCUAGGGCUGCACACGUGCUACAAUGGCCGGUACAACGAGCAGCCACUCCGCAAGGAGGCGCGAAUCUCUGAAAGCCGGUCCCAGUUCGGAUUGGAGUCUGCAACCCGACUCC